rnacentral:rRNA from 1 species
UACAGAGGGUGCGAGCGUUAAUCGGAAUUACUGGGCGUAAAGCGCACGUAGGCGGCUUGGUAUGUCGGGUGUGAAAUCCCCGGGCUCAACCUGGGAACUGCAUCCGAAACUGCCUUGCUCGAGUAUGGGAGAGGGAAGUGGAAUUUCCGGUGUAGCGGUGAAAUGCGUAGAUAUCGGAAGGAACAUCAGUGGCGAAGGCGACUUCCUGGACCAAUACUGACGCUGAGCCGCGAAAGCCAGGGGAGCGAACGAG